UACGUAGGUGGCAAGCGUUGUCCGGAUUUACUGGGCGUAAAGCGAACGCAGGCGGGCCUUUAAGUAGGAAGUGAAAGGUUGGAGCUUAACUCUAACACUGCUCCCUAUACUGGAGGCCUUGAGUUUCGGAGAGGAAGAUGGAACGAUCCGUGUAGCGGUGAAAUGCGUUGAUAUGGGUCGGAACACCAAUGGCGAAAGCAAUCUUCUGGACGAAUACUGACGCUCAGGUUCGAAAGCCAAGGUAGCAAACAGG
rnacentral:rRNA from 1 species